GCGUGCCCUAAGUCUCGACGCCGUCUCCUCUUCUCUGCGCGGCGCAAACCACACGCGGAGCAUCUGCCAACUUCUGCCCGAGCCCUAAGACCCCGACGCCGAUCCCUUGUCUCUUCCUGUCGACGCCAUUCUCACCGGUCGACGAGAGCCAAGCAAGAGACGAUCAACUCUCUUUUCUCUGCAUUCGCACAUCGCCGACCUGUGCCCGAGUCGCCGCCGAGGUUGAGCCCUAGAUUGGGGAAGAUCAGGAAUGCGCCGACACUCCUCUUCGAUGUCGCACGUCUGCACGGGCUGGCCUUGUUCGUGCCACCGCGGAGUCUGCUUCGCCGACCUCCGCCCUCUGUCUUAGUGCCGGCAGCCCACCUUCUCUUUUGCCUUAGCACCGGGCGCCGCCACCACCCGAGGCCGCACGAAACAGUGCUCUUCUCGGUACCAGCCGUUGGGUGAAGGGACAGCUAUUGUCUUCACCGACUAUUGUCCGAUCUGCCUCUCUAUUCGUCGCCGACGAGGACAUACCAUGCCCUAGCUAUGAUCUAGGAGGCAGUAGGUGAGGUUGGUUCUCCUUUGCUGGAUCUGUGAUCAGCACUGACGAUUGAAGAGAAGGGGAGAAUCCAGCAAGGUAGUUUUCGCGCUGAGGUGUUCUUGUCCAGCAUACAGUUGCAGCUCUUCAAUUGUGGAUCAACCACAAUUCAUCUGUUGAGGGUGGAUUAUGUUAACAGAAAAUGAUUAUCAGGUGUUGGAUGAGUUUUGGAAGAAAAGGGUGAGGGUUUUGAUUUGAGACAAGAGCUUUGAUUAGAGGACAUAUAACACGAUCUACAUUGGAGGCGGGUACCAGGUUAUUUAUGGUGUCGCUUGGAGCAUCCUGUUUGCUGGUCC